rnacentral:misc_RNA from 1 species
GAUGAAGAACGCAGCGAAAUGCGAUAAGUAGUGUGAAUUGCAGAAUUCAGUGAAUCAUCGAAUCUUUGAACGCACAUUGCGCCUCCUGGUAUUCCGGGAGGCAUGCCUGUUCGAGCGUCAUUAAAAUCACUCAAGCUUAGGUUUACCUAUUGCUUGGUCCUGGAGAUGGAAGCCAAUUUAUUGGAAUCCUCUUCGAAAUUCAAUGGCGAAGACCCUUGCUCUCCCAAGUGUAGUAAUAACUUAUGUCACUGAAGGAAGCGAGAAAUCUUCUGCCGUAACCCCCAUAUUUUCUAUGAUUGACCUCGGAUCAGGUAGGGAUACCCGCUGAACUUAAGCAUAUCAAUAAGCGGAGGA